AUGCCAGGAGUGCUACCAAACAACUCUUCUCGAGUACUCAAAGCGUUUCGAGUAAUCAUGAACUGCAGAUAUAGAGUUCCGGGCGAUGUUGCAGCGGGAGCUCGUCAGGAAGUGCAGAGGCUCAAGCCCUCUGCAUCUCAACUGCAGGCAGCCAUGCAGGAGCUGCAGAGCAGCGGGUUGCACUCGGACGACGCCGGGAUCGGGGCUGCGGAAGCCAGGAAGACCGACCUCAUGGCUAAGAAGGCCAAGCUGGACGAGACCCUGGCUGCAACCCGCCAGUUCAGAGCACUGCUUCGGUAG
rnacentral:rRNA from 1 species